UCUUGAACAACUAUUACGAUAUUUCUCUCAAGAAAUACUCAAUUUUCUUGAUCGGAAUGGUGUGCUUUGUUGUUGUUGGGGGUAUAUAUGACGCCGUUUUGUAAUGGAAGCUUUUCGGGAUGGUUUAUUUUACGCACGUGCUUCUUUUGUCAGGUAUAUGGACUAUUUCAACUUGUACCAUGGGAAACUACUGCGAUGCGUUUGAUAAUUGCUUUCUACUGAGCUACUGUGAAUGUGGAAGAAGAAACUUUGCUUGGAGGUGUUGGAUGAUGAUAUGGAUGAUGAAUAUGAGAAUGUUAACAGACUAACAGUGAUGCAUCUCAUACCGGAAGGUCAAAAAUAAGAAGACGGAUAAAGGUGCUGCAGUAACAAAAGUUUUAAAGCUUCUCCAGUUUGUAACAUUAAUAAUAAGAAUAUCGUUAUGGAGUGAACAGCUUCAAGAAGGAAAUCAAGUCUGUGCCAAAGCUGCUGUUAAAAAGGUAGAUCAUCUCGCUUUAUGAGUGCAUGCAACGGGAACUACAAGUAUUGGACGUGGAUCCUCUUUGUUUGCUAAGCACAUGAGAAGUAUUUAUGACUUGUUACUCUUCUCUCCCAAAAACACUUGAGGAUGUGGAGGGAGAUUAGACUAUUGGCUGAAUCUAAGCCUGUUAUCGCAUUAGGUAGAUGUGGUCGCUUGCGGAAGACACUACAUGGUCAUGGAAGCACAGGCUAUAGUUUCCGAGAACAUUAAUUUGACGGGUUCUAUCGGUGUUGUCCCAGACCCGAUGAAGAAUUAUUUUUUGCCGAAUCUCCCCAGAAUGCUAGCAAACACUUUCAUAACAAGGCAGCAUUUUCAAGAUCCAUAAUAUUCAUUACUGUAUCAGUGUAUGUGGUCACUCUACUGUGCUGCAAGCCUGCAAUGGAUAAGAUGGAGGAAUUUGCUCAAGGGGGAGAAUGGACUGGAAAGAAUGCUGCUUCACAGGGCUUAGUAGAUGCAAUUGGAGGGUUCUCGCAGGCUAUUGCCAUAUCAAAACAGAAGGCAAACAUAGCUCAGGACAAACAGGUUACUUUGGUUGAGCUGUCAAAAUCAUCACCCUUAUGAAAGUAGUUCUAUAUCUGCUGGGCUCGCUAGAGGACAUGUUUUCCAAGAUCAUGUUUUCAUCAGUAAUCUUAGUUCGAGGAUGACAUUUAAAGAAGGUGGUGCAGAAUUUACAGGGUACCCAAAUAUUUUUCUCAUGAAACAUCUUCGGUUGAGGAUAAUCUGGGUUUGUCUACAGUCUAUUGAUCGAACUAGUGUGUUUGUUAUUAAUGGGGUAUAGAUGACGCUGGUUUGUGAAGGAAGCUUUCCCGGAUGGUUUAUCCUACGCACGUGCUUCAUUGGGUUGCGGGCGUUCGAUAUGCAAUGGUAAUUGGAUCAUCUCGCCUGCAUGAAUGCAUGCAAUGUAAAUUAUUGACGGGUUGGCAGGUAUUGGACGUGGAUCCUCUCUAUUUGCUGUUUAUAUUUAAGAUGAAACUUGUCAGCAGCGUCUUGGUAUACAUGAUACAGAAAAUAUAGCUGACCUUUCUUGUGGAACAUAGUGGGGAUUGGCUGUUUGUUCCAGUUAGGCUCAUUUAAAACACUAUUGAUGGGUAAUGAUAGUCUAGUUUUGGACAUGCAAUUGCAUGCUCAGGCAGCAGUUGGGUACUGUUGCAUAUGACGGUGUCGUCUGAGCCUCGUAUUGGAUUUGAAUGGGAGAAUUGAAGUAAUUCUGUAAAAGGGAGAUGAAAUCCAACUAAGCCCUUUCCCUGCUGCGUAAUUUGUGCAAUUCACAAAGCUUCUUUAGUAUUUCAGAAGUAGUACCCAAUACAACCCAAUUCAGGUGAUCGCUCUAUGCAAGGCAUGGUUGAAUGGGCUUGUUAACUUAACCAGAACAGUUAUACUGUCUGGGUAUAAUAUUAGAUUGAUUAGCUCAAUUGUAAGAGUCAUGUUACCGAGAAUAAAAUAGCAGUUUAAGUAAAAGAUGGGAAGAAUAAGCAUGCUCAAUUUCUAACUUUCAGCUAAAAUUUCCAACUUUCCAUCUUUGUGUUCCUAUAUUUUUUCUUCUUUCAGCGAACAAUCCUGGUUCAGUAGUUUUCUAAUUUUUUAUCAAUAUAGCAUCUAAAUAGCUAAGGAGCCAUGGAGGACAACUUGGGAAAUUGCAUCGUCUUGUUAUAGAACAUGACUCAUAACUAAAGUCAAUGGUAGAGAGUCUGUUACAACCCUAGGAAUCACUUGGAGUAGUGAUUAUAAUGGUUACUGUAGUCAGUGGUUUUUGCGACAGAAUGACCAUGAAUAACUGACUACCAGCGAUCAAUAAUGGUCGGAAGAGGAAAGUUGGUAGAAGAGGUGAAUCUGGGCACUACUGAUAAUACAGAUAGUGAUGAAGAGUGAGACCAAAUGAUGCUGGUGACCAUUAUUGAGACAUUUAUGGUGUUUUCAUUUCUUCUAGACCCUUUUGUUGAGGUAGUAUUUACUCGUUUCUGUAGGAGAACGCAUACCUCAGAAGUAUUUUAAUAUGGCUCUUUGUUUUUGCUCAAA